UACGUAGGGUGCGAGCGUUAAUCGGAAUUACUGGGCGUAAAGCGUGCGCAGGCGGUUCGUUGUGUCGGCGGUGAAAGCCUCGGGCUCAACCUGGGAAUGGCCGUUGAAACUGGCGAACUGGAGUGUGGCAGAGGGGGGUGGAAUUCCGCGUGUAGCAGUGAAAUGCGUAGAUAUGUGGAGGAACACCGAUGGCGAAGGCAGCCCCCUGGGCCUGCACUGACGCUCAUGCACGAAAGCGUGGGGAGCAAACAGG
rnacentral:rRNA from 1 species